rnacentral:rRNA from 1 species
GAAAGUAAUUAAGGGCAAACGGUGGAUGCCUUGGCUCUCAGAGGCGAUGAAGGACGUGACAAGCUGCGAAAAGCUGCGGGGAGGAGCAAAUAUCCGAUAUAUCCGCAGGUAUCCGAAUGGGGAAACCCUCCCGACUGAAGGUCGGGAAUCCUGAUGCAAAUCAGGAAGCGAACCCGGAGAACUGAAACAUCUAAGUACCCGGAGGAGAAGAAAACAAUAGUGAUUCCCAGAGUAGUGGCGAUCGAAAUGGGAAGAGCCCAAACCGACGAUGUUUAGGCAUAGUCGGGGUUGUAGGACCGGCAUAAUUAUCAUUAAUACAAACUGGAACUACCUGGAAAGGUAGGGCAUAGAAGGUGAAACCCCAGUACAGGAACGUAUUUGUGAUAAAGCUGGUAUCCUGAGUAAGGCGGGACACGUGAAAUCCUGUCUGAACCCGCGGGGACCAUCCCGCAAGGCUAAAUACUCCUGAGAGACCGAUAGUGGACUAGUACCGUGAGGGAAAGGUGAAAAGCACCCCGAACAGGGGAGUGAAAUAGUACCUGAAACCGUUUGCUUACAAUCGGUCGGAGCUCUGCCGCAAGGCGGGGUGACGGCGUGCCUUUUGCAUAAUGAGCCUACGAGUUAUCCUUACUAGCAAGGUUAAAACUUUAAGAGUUGGAGCCGAAGCGAAAGCGAGUCUGAAUAGGGCGUAUAGUUAGUAGGGGUAGACGCGAAACUUUGUGAUCUAUCCUUGGUCAGGCUGAAGUUCCGGUAACACGGGAUGGAGGGCCGAACCAGUUAACGUUGAAAAGUUUUUGGAUGAACUGAGGAUAGGGGUGAAAGGCUAAUCAAACUGAGAAAUAGCUCGUACUCCCCGAAAUGCAUUUAGGUGCAGCCUCGGAAGGAGUCUUGCAGAGGUAGAGCUACUGAUAAGGCUAGAGGGCUUCACCGCCUAUCAAACCUUGACAAACUCCGAAUACUGUAAGAUGUUCUCCGGGAGUGAGCCUGCGGGUGCUAAGGUCCGUGGACAAAAGGGAAAGAACCCAGAUCAUCAGCUAAGGUCCCGAAAUAUAUGCUAAGUUGAAUUAACGAAGUGCGACUGCUUAGACAGCUAGGAUGUUGGCUUGGAAGCAGCCAUUCAUUUAAAGAGUGCGUAACAGCUCACUAGUCGAGCGGUUGUGCGUGGAUAAUAAUCGGGCAUAAGCAUAUUACCGAAGCUAUGAACUCACGCUUUCGGGCGUGAUUGGUAGGGGAGCAUUCCAGUCUGCGCUGAAGAAAUACUGUGAGGUGUUUUGGAGCGGCUGGAAAAGAAAAUGUAGGCAUAAGUAACGAUAAUGCAGGUGAGAAACCUGCACACCGAAAGACUAAGGUUUCCUGAUCAACGCUAAUCGGAUCAGGGUUAGUCGGGUCCUAAGUGUAAGCCGAAAGGCGAUCAUAAUGGACAACUGGUUAAUAUUCCAGUACCACCGUGUAUUGCGAUGGGAAGACGGAGCAGUGAAAGGUCCGCGUACUGACGGAAUAGUACGUUGAAGGGUGUAGUUAUAUCAUGCGGUUAACAGCUGCGUGAUGAUGAACCUGAAAGUACCAUGAGCCUUCGGGCAAGUGGAUAGUGACCCUAAUCAGACUUCCAAGAAAAUUCUCUAAGCUUCAGAUACAUGGUGCCCGUACCCCAAACCGACACAGGUAGUCGAGGAGAGAAUCCUAAGGUGCUCGAGUGAUCCGUGGCUAAGGAACUAGGCAAAUUAGACCUGUAACUUCGGAAUAAAGGUCUCCCGCGCAAGCGGGACGCAGAUAAAUGGCCCAGGCGACUGUUUAGCAAAAACACAUGGCUUUGCGAAAUCGAAAGAUAAUGUAUAAGGCCUGACACCUGCCCGGUGCCGGAAGGUUAAGAGGGGGGGUUAUCCUGAGCAAUCGGGAAAAGCCCUGAAUUGAAGCCCCGGUAAACGGCGGCCGUAACUAUAACGGUCCUAAGGUAGCGAAAUUCCUUGUCGGGUAAGUUCCGACCU